rnacentral:rRNA from 1 species
GACGAACGCUGGCGGCGUGCCUAAUACAUGCAAGUUGAGCGCUGAAGGUUGGUACUUGUACCAACUGGAUGAGCAGCGAACGGGUGAGUAACGCGUGGGGAAUCUGCCUUUGAGCGGGGGACAACAUUUGGAAACGAAUGCUAAUACCGCAUAAAAACUUUAAACACAAGUUUUAAGUUUGAAAGAUGCAAUUGCAUCACUCAAAGAUGAUCCCGCGUUGUAUUAGCUAGUUGGUGAGGUAAAGGCUCACCAAGGCGAUGAUACAUAGCCGACCUGAGAGGGUGAUCGGCCAAAUUGGGACGGAGACACGGCCCAAACUCCUACGGGAGGCAGCAGUAGGGAAUCUUCGGCAAUGGACGAAAGUCUGGCCGGGCAACGCCGCGUGAGUGAAGAAGGUUUUCGGAUCGGAAAACUCUGUUGGUAGAGAAGAACGUUGGUGAGAGUGGAAAGCUCAUCAAGUGACGGUAACUACCCAGAAAGGGACGGCUAACUACGUG